rnacentral:rRNA from 1 species
AUUGAACGCUGGCGGCAGGCCUAACACAUGCAAGUCGAGCGGAGCGGCAGACGGGUGAGUAAUGCCUAGGAAUCUGCAUGGUAGUGGGGGAGAACGUCAGGAAACGGGCGCUAAUACCGCAUACUAUCAGAUGAGCCUAGGGCGGAUUAGCUAGUUGGUGGGGUAAAGGCCAAACAAGGCGACGAACAUUAACUGGGCUGAGUGGAUGAUCAGUCACACUGGAACUGAGACACGGCCCAUACUCCUACGGGAGGCAGCAGUGGGGAAUAUUGGACAAGGGGCGAAAGCCUGAUCCAGCCAUCCCGCGUGUGUGAAGAAGGUCUGCGGAUUGUAAAGCACUUUAAGUUGGGAGGCGUUACCAGCAGAAUAAGCACCGGCUAACUUCGUGCCAGCAGCCGCGGUAAUAC